GAUGAACGCUGGCGGCGUGCCUAAUACAUGCAAGUCGAGCGAACAGACGAGGAGCUUGCUCCUCUGACGUUAGCGGCGGACGGGUGAGUAACACGUGGAUAACCUACCUAUAAGACUGGGAUAACUUCGGGAAACCGGAGCUAAUACCGGAUAAUAUAUUGAACCGCAUAGUUCAAUAGUGAAAGACGGUUUUGCUGUCACUUAUAGAUGGAUCCGCGCCGCAUUAGCUAGUUGGUAAGGUAACGGCUUACCAAGGCGACGAUGCGUAGCCGACCUGAGAGGGUGAUCGGCCACACUGGACCUGAGACACGGUCCAAAGUCCUGAGGGAGGCAGCAGUAGGGAAUCUUCCGCAAUGGGCGAAAGCCUGACGGAGCAACGCCGCGUGAGUGAUGAAGGUCUUCGGAUCGUAAAACUCUGUUAUUAGGGAAGAACAAAUGUGUAAGUAACUAUGCACGUCUUGACGGUACCUAAUCAGAAAGCCACGGCUAACUACGUG
rnacentral:rRNA from 1 species